AAAGAAACUUAAAAAAGCAUGAAGAUAUUGUAUCUGACAAAGAAAUAAUACGAUUUCAGCUACUUUACGAUUGAUGAGGGAAAACAGAAACAGAAAAAACCAGAAAAGAAAAAAGAAUGAUUUUCUCUUCUCUACUUUGGAGCAGUAACAUUGUAAAAACUAAAAUUGCUAAAUAUGUCAAAAUCACAGCAUUACAGAGAAAUUUCUAGAAAAAAAAAAUGCCAGCCAUAUAAAAUCCAGGGCACAUUCCUAUACCACAAUUAUAAUGUCUUUAUGCAUCACCUGACUUGAUUUUCAUGAAAAUUGGUACGUCAUAAUCAUUAAAUGAUUAUCACCAAUCAACAAAUAUGUAAUUGUAAAAAACCUUCCAUUUAUUGGAACCAGCUAGUUACCUGUUUCAAAUUUAUUGUGUACACACAAAAUAUGUAAGAAUAUCUAAGAGCAUACAAUUGGAGCAAAAAUGCUACAAAUUUGAAAAUUCAUAAAUGAGUUUACCUAGAAUACACCAAGUUUUAAACUAGAAUAUUAACUUACAAUCUUCCAAAUCCAACAAUAUCUUGUUUCAAAAGGGAAAUUAUGCUGCUGAAGCCAUAUAUUCACCAACUUCAUUUUCAAAGAUAGAGUACAAGAUAUAAAUCAUAAGGGAAUAAAAACUAACAACAGUGGAAAUAGAAUCUGGAACCUUUUUGUUCUCAAGACCUAAGCCUUGAGUCCUUUACCAUUGGAGCAGGAGAAUUGGCUAUAUUCACAUCUUUACCACCUACUCAUUGUUGAACAAUGAACACCAUUGUGAUAAAAGGCCACUUGGCAAAAGGAAAACAGAGAAAAAACAAACUAAACAAUUACAUCACGAAUAAAGCACCCAUAGGUGACGCCACAAGCAUCAUGUAACAGCCAGUCACUUAUCCCAGGAGGAGGUAAAAAUAAAUCAUACAUUUAUUAUGGAUAUAUUAAUAUUAAAUAUUAUAAAUCAUCACGAAUCUGGAACCUCUUUGUUCUCAAGGCCUAUGCCUUGAGUCCUUUACCAUUGGAG
rnacentral:misc_RNA from 1 species